AUGGCGUGGAUGAGUUGGGACAAGAUGAAAUUGCCUAAAUCUAUGGGGGGCAUGGGCUUUAGGGACAUGAGAGCUUUCAACCAGGCCUUGCUGGCUAAGCAAGCGUGGAGACUGCUUGAUACUCCUACAAGUUUGUGUGCAAGGUUAUUGAAAGCAAAAUAUUUCCCCUCAGGUCAUCUUUUGGAUAUCGUGUUUCCGAAUAGUGGAUCUGCAGUGUGGAAAGGUGUAUUGCAUGGACUUGAGCUGCUGAAAAAAGGAAUUAUAUGGUGUGUAGGUGACGGGGCGCAAAUCAGAACUUGGCGU
rnacentral:rRNA from 1 species